AGCGAACGCUGGCGGCAGGCUUAACACAUGCAAGUCGAGCGCCCCGCAAGGGGAGCGGCAGACGGGAGAGUAACACGUGGGAACGUACCUUUCAGUUCGGAACAACCAAGGGAAACUUUGGCUAAUACCGGAUACGCCCGUAAGGGGAAAGAUUUAUCGCUGAAAGAUCGGCCCGCGUCUGAUUAGCUAGUUGGUGGGGUAAUGGCCCACCAAGGCGACGAUCAGUAGCUGGUCUGAGAGGAUGAUCAGCCUCACUGGGACUGAGACACGGCCCAGACUCCUACGGGGGGCAGCAGUGGGGAAUAUUAGACAAUGGGCGCAAGCCUGAUCCAGCCAUGCCGCGUGGAUGAUGAAGGCCUUAGGGUUGUAAAGUCCUUUUAACGGGGAAGAUAAUGACGGUACCCGUAGAAUAAGCCCCGGCUAACUUCGUGCCAGCCGCCGCCGUAUAC
rnacentral:rRNA from 1 species